rnacentral:rRNA from 1 species
CCUACGGGGGGCUGCAGUUAGGAAUAUUCGUCAAUGGGGGAAACCCUGAACGAGCAAUGCCGCGGGAGUGAUGAAGGUCCUUUGGAUUGUAAAACUCUGUUGUAUGGAAAAAAUGGUUAAGUUAGGAAAUGAACUUAAUGUGAUGGUACCAUACCAGAAAGCCCCGGCUAACUACGUGCCAGCAGCCGCGGUAAUACGUAGGGGGCGAGCGUUAUCCGGAUUUAUUGGGCGUAAAGCGUGUGUAGGCGGUUUGUUAAGUUUAAGAUUAAAGCCCGGAGCUCAACUCCGGUGCGUCUUAAAAACUGGUAGACUUGAGUACGGUAGAGGCAAACGGAAUUUCUAGUGUAGCGGUGAAAUGCGUAGAUAUUAGAAGGAACACCAGUGGCGAAAGCGGUGUGCUGGGCCGUUACUGACGCUGAGGCACGAAAGCGUGGGGAGCAAAUAGGAUUAGAUACCCCGGUAGUC